ACGGUUUGUCGUUAAGACCUAUUUAUGAAAGACAUUUUAGUAAAGCAGUUCCUAGUUCAAGUGAUGUAACAAAUCUCUUCUCCGACGAAUUUUCUUCUCUAGUGCCCCCAUAAGUAACUCAUAAUAAAAACAGACCCUCACUGCCCUAUGGCAUCUAAAAAUAAAAUCGAAGAAGGUAUUUCUUAUGUCUAAUAAAAUGACUGGUUUAGUAAAAUGGUUUGACGCUGGUAAAGGUUUUGGUUUCAUCAGCCCUGCAGACGGCAGCAAAGAUGUGUUCGUACACUUCUCUGCAAUCCAGAGCAAUGAUUUCAAAACGCUGGACGAAGGCCAAAACGUUGAAUUUACCAUUGAAAAUGGUAUGAAAGGCCCAUCAGCCGGCAACGUAGUCGUACUGUAACAUUCGACUG
rnacentral:sRNA from 1 species